GUGGGGAAUCUUCCGCAAUGGACGAAAGUCUGACGGAGCAACGCCGCGUGAGUGAUGAAGGUCUUCGGAUUGUAAAGCUCUGUUAAUCGGGACGAAAGAGCCUAGUGUGAAUAAUGCUAGGAAGUGACGGUACCGGAAUAGAAAGCCACGGCUAACUACGUGCCAGCAGCCGCGGUAAUACGUAGGUGGCAAGCGUUGUCCGGAAUGAUUGGGCGUAAAGAGCGCGCAGGCGGAUCUGCCAGUCUGUCUUAAAAGUUCGGGGCUUAACCCCGUGAUGGGAUGGAAACUACAGAUCUAGAGUAUCGGAGAGGAAAGUGGAAUUCCUAGUGUAGCGGUGAAAUGCGUAGAUAUUAGGAAGAACACCAGUGGCGAAGGCGACUUUCUGGACGAAAACUGACGCUGAGGCGCGAAAGCCAGGGGAGCGAACGGGAUUAGAAACCCGGGUAGUCC
rnacentral:rRNA from 1 species